rnacentral:snRNA from 1 species
AUACUUUAUUUCUUUCUUUCUUUCAGUUUAAUAUCUGAUACGUGGUUCAUAGAACCACAUGAUAUUAAAUGUAUUUUUUUAGGGGGAGAGCCCAUUUACAGUAGCUUGCUACUGGGGCUCUCGAGCGUCGCUUGUGCGUUGCACUACAGCGCAAGCCUGGCGCACCCCAA